rnacentral:rRNA from 1 species
UAAGCGGAGGAAAAGAAACUAACAAGGAUUCCCCUAGUAACUGCGAGUGAAGCGGGAAAAGCUCAAAUUUAAAAUCUGGCGGUCUUUGGCCGUCCGAGUUGUAAUUUAGAGAAGCGUCUUCCGCGCUGGACCGUGCACAAGUCUCCUGGAAUGGAGCGUCAUAGAGGGUGAGAAUCCCGUCUUUGGCUCGGAUGCCUGGUGCUUCUGUGAUGCGCUCUCGAAGAGUCGAGUUGUUUGGGAAUGCAGCUCAAAAUGGGUGGUGAGCUCCAUCUAAAGCUAAAUAUUGGCGAGAGACCGAUAGCGAACAAGUACCGUGAGGGAAAGAUGAAAAGCACUUUGGAAAGAGAGUGAAACAGUACGUGAAAUUGUUGAAAGGGAAACGCUUGAAGUCAGUCGCGUCGACCGAGACUCAGCCUUGCCUUGGCUUGGUGUACUUCUCGGCCCGACGGGUCAGCAUCAAUUUUGCCCCUCGGAUAAUGGCAAGGGAAAGGUGGCACCUUUACGGGUGUGUUAUAGUCUCCUGUCGAAUGCGAGGGGUGGGAUUGAGGAACUCAGCGCGCACCUCAGUGUCGGGGCUUCGGCCCACGUCACGCGCUUAGGAUGCUGGCGUAAUGGCUUUAAACGACC